rnacentral:rRNA from 1 species
AGUCGUACGGGAGUUUUUAACUCAAGUGGCGGACGGGUGAGUAACACGUAAGAAUUUGCCUCUAGGAGGGGGACAACAACUGGAAACGGUUGCUAAUACCCUAUGCUUUCGAGUGAAAUGGAUUUUUCCGCCUAGAGAGAAGCUUGCGGCUGAUUAGCUUGUUGGUGAGGUAAUGGCUCACCAAGGCGACGAUCAGUAUCUGGUUUGAGAGGACGAUCAGACACACUGGAACUGAGACACGGUCCAGACUCCUACGGGAGGCAGCAGUGGGGAGUUUUCCGCAAUGGGCGAAAGCCUGACGGAGCAAUACCGCGUGAAGGAUGACGGCCUAUGGGUUGUAAACUUCUUUUUUCAGGGAGGAAUCAAUGACGUGUACCUGAAGAAUAAGCAUCGGCUAACUCCGUGCCAGCAGCCGCGGUAAGACGGAGAUGCAAGUGUUAUCCGAAUCACUGGGCGUAAAGCGUCUGUAGGUGGUCCAAUAAGUCAACUGUUAAAUCUUG